GGGGGUGGGGAGGAAGCAUGCCGAAGCUUCUUCAUAGAAGAAUCCUCAAAGAAUAAAAUAAUUUAGAAUGUCUUCCUGCGGGAGGAGGCAAGGCUAUAGCUAACAUCUAAGUUGUAUUUAUGGUAAGAUUUUUUUUUGAUGGAGUUUUAAACAGAAGUGACAUUCAAAGCAGCAUUUAAAAAAAAAAAAAACAAUUGGAAACAAAUGGUAGAAAUUGUUCCUGUUACUGCUUUCUUUUCAUAGUCAACUAGGGUAAUCCAGCAAUGCUGGAUUGUGUCUUUCCUUCUAGAAUCAUCUAAAUCCUUAAAAAGUUAUGUUUGGUCUCAUAAGAAAUGAAACUGCAAAUCAGAUCAGUGUGAUUAUGACUGAUGAAGAUUCUGAACAACAAAGACUCUGACAGAAAGAGAGUUUAUAAGAACACACUGCCCUCCCCAUUUUUAAAAGAGAAUAUUAACUCCAUCAAUUAUUGAAAGGAAUUAUUCAGAGGCUCCAGACAGAACUAAUUACGGCUUAGAGAGGUGCCAGAGCCGAGCCGGUGCUGUAAUUAUGAAAGUCCAAGACAUUAGGAAUCAUUUUUUUUUAAAGGAGGCUUGAGCACAGAAUUUCACAUAAUCUUUUAAAAAUACACCAGUUUUUCUUUGUCUGCUCUCUCAUGUUAUCUACACCUCCCCCACUGCCGCCCACUGUGCGCUGAGACACCUGAAGGCUAGACAUAAUGAUCAACAGAGCUCCAGCCUGUCUGGACUCCAGCCAGGUCCCCCCCCCCCCCACCCCCCUUCUACAAUCAAGGAGCUUGCACGCAAUGCAUGCCGAGCCUUUCCACCACUAUGUGCAGAUCCGGGAUGGAAGUCGUACACAUACUGCGGAAAGAUUAAAGACAACAAUAUCCCCUUUCUCCUACCCUAGACAGACUCAAUUUUUAACCCUUUCAUUGCCUUUAAAACCGAGAUGUCUCAAGCACUCGAAGGCAGGUCUCCAGGGACACUGCAACUCCUGCACCAUUUCGCAUAGAAGCACACGCCUCAUUUGGUGUGGAAAUCCCAUCUCCACGGAUCCUGGCAGAAUAUUUGAGGAUUUACAGUGUGUUAACUAAACGAAACAGAAUUCACUGGUGUGGGGAAUGCAUUUUUGAACAAACUUAAGCUAUAUAAGAUCGGGGUGGGGGGGAAGUCUGAGGUCUGUGGGAAGGUUCUUACAAGCCUUGCUGAGAGGGCUGCAGAGGGUUUCUGAGGCUGCAGUUCUGUAAGCAUCGUUCUUUUUGCCUCUGUGUCUUUUUCUCAUUCUCUGUCUCCCACACACUUAAGGCGCACACAUGAGCCAGAAAAACACAUCACUCUAUCACAACGAAGCCAGGUUAGUUGGUGAUGUCAUCACAGAUAAAAUUUUGCCUUUGUGGGCAACAUUUUCAAUCACCUAGACGCCAGCGUCUGCUGGGUGUGUGCCCAUAGGAAGUUCAAGUGUUUGCGGGGUUAACCAACAGACAUAGGAAAGCAGUCUUUUAUUCAGAGUUCUCUCUCUCUCUCUCUCUCUCUCUCUCUCUCUCUCUCUCUCUCUCUCUCAGAUGUGUUUACGGGGCAGUAUGGGUGUGCUUAUCAUGAUAUAGUCAUGUAGCCAGAGUUCUGUGCUUCUAGUACGCCUUAUUAACAUGCUGAUUAUACAUGUGGCUAGAUUUCAAUAUGAAUAGAUGAAAUGAAAAGCGUUUUAAAAUAAUUUGGCUCAAAAUUUUACAAAAGUAAUAGUCAUUAUGAAUUGGUAUUUGUCAUUUGCGAUUACUUUUAAUUGAUUUUUACUAUUAAAAUUCCUCAAGGAAAGAAUCAUUUAUACAAAUGAUUUUGAAGCGAUGCCCAUUUUGUGCCUUUGUGCGUAUGUCUCUGGAUUAGCUGGAACUUGGAUUCAGUGUUUGUGCAGUUGUUCACUCUAUAUUUUUCAUCUCUACUUUGGGGGUCUUCCCUAAAGAGUCACCUACCAAUCAAGUCCUCAGAUCUUUAUUAACAUACAUAUGGUAUUAUUUUAUUUUUCUUAUGUCGAAUGGAAGAAAGAUAAUUUCUUUUGCCACCCUGUAAUUUGAGAUAGAGAUGGAGAAAAAUUCCACAUGCAUUCUACACCUUAUCAAGUUUUUAUAUGUAACUUAUUAAUAAUGUAGGAAUUAUGAUAUGUUUGCUAGCUCAGACAUGCCUGGCAUUUGAUAUUCAGUUUUGUAAGCGUUGAAAUUCAUUCUUUGUACUUCUAAUUUAGAAAAGAUUUUGAAAGCCUGUGUCUGUGAACAAUUGCAGUAAAGGAUCAACAGAACAACGGAUUUAUUUGCCAAUGUAUUAUGUGAUUGUUUUAAAGCAAGAGAAUAAAAAAUUACUGCUUCAUUUGAUUAUUGUCCAGAAAAGCAUACAGUUGAAGAAUUAACACAUUUUGUACUUACAAAAAUUAUAUAAGUUGACUGGUAUUUCUGUGGCGUAACACUCCAAUGUAAACAAGUAAAUAACUUUUUCUAAGGCAUGACUUUCUAUUUUCGUGUAAAGGUUCCCUCCCAACACACACUGAAGUUCUGGCCUGAUGAAAAAUAAUUUAAUUUCUUUCUCCAAGAGAGAAAAUGAACAAGCUGUUUUUGAUUCCACCCUACUUUCUAAAAGGCAGACCUGACCUGGCCCUCUGGGGAUACAGGUUACUAGAAAGGCAUCUUUCAAAGACAAGAAGAUAAUGGACUUGAUUGAAAUAGCUGGACGACGUAAGGCCAGUUCAAGAACAAAUGGUGUUUCAGAACAUAACUGUGAGCAAACAAUUUCCUAUAGUUUGUUCUCCUUACACAAUGGUAAUGGUUUAUUGGAAAUAGCAGAACAAACAGGAGAUAGAUGUACCCAAACAGAAAACAACCCAUGUCCUUUCAUGUCAGGGAUGCAUCAAGAGCCUUGGUGAUCACAGAAUAUUCUUACUCCAAGUCUUUUUGUUGUAGAUUUUACUGGCUCCUCAGCAUCAGCUGAGGGUUGUGACCAGGUGUGGGUGAUAUUUAACAUGCACACUAGAAUAUAGGAUUGUGGUCACAAUUUAUUUUUGUUAUUGUACAAGAGGGUUUGAAACGUAGAGUGUGACUGUACUUUAAUACAAUGAAACUUGGGUAGCAAGAUCCACUGGUUAUGAUUCUUCUAAGUGAGAAUCAUGCUCAGGUACUGAGUAAAGUGGGUGAGAUAUUAUUAUAGAUACUACACACCCUACUACUUUCCUAACUCAAAAACUUCAAUCCAAAUUUGAAGAACAGAACAAUAAUUACUACAGAACUAGACUGUGUUUCUGAGCACCCAGUUGAUUCCUGAAAGUACACUCUGUGGUCGUAAUCUCUCAUGAAGAAAAAGAUUGUGUUUUUUAAAGCUUACCCUGUAGGUUAAAGGCCUGAAAUUAUUGUGCACAGAUGCCCAAGCAGUGUUCAGAGAUGGAAGGAAACUCUGGUCGCAAUAGCUAAGAAGGGGAACUGGUUCAGCUGCUCUAUGCUCCAAAUCUCCUACCUCCACUCUGAACGCGUGCUGAACUCAAGAUUAAUUGGAAUGAAUACUAUCAAAGUGAUUUUUAUAACUUACAAAAGAGCCACUGUUUUGUUAGAUGCCCUCGUGAUGGCAGAGAGUAUGGAAAGUGAUGGACUGGCCCUCUGCUUGCAACCUACUCAGGCCCAGGGAGACACUGGG
rnacentral:lncRNA from 1 species